CCCAAAUAACAGAAGUUAAAACCCUUUUUUGCACUAGUGCGUACACUGGUGCAUGACCACCGUUCUCGCGUUCCAUCACCUUUCGUAUGUCUUCAUAUUCUCUCGUCUCUUUCUCGGGACUUUUGCCCUCUCUCCCUUUCACAAUUUCUCGUUCGUUUCUCACCUAUUGUGACCUCACGGUCGCCUCCACCGUGACCUCCAUUGUUGCUUCACCAUUGUUUUCGCAUAAUGUCUUUCUCGUGUUCUUGACGAAGGAGUAAAGGUGUCUCCUUUUUCGAAUGUGUGAGAGUUUUUGGGUGAAAGAAUGAGUCUUCCAUAGUGUUGAGCGACUCGUGCCCACAUGGAAACUGGGUUCACAAAAGAGAGGAUGCCCAUGAAAUACGUGAUGUACGCCAAGCGUAUCCCCUUCCGCAAGAGAGUUGUUCUAUAAUACUAACACAAGUUAUCAAUGACAUCUGAGACCUUCACACAUUUGUGGGGAACAUAUUUGACAUCAUCG
rnacentral:sRNA from 1 species